rnacentral:rRNA from 1 species
UAGAGCACUGUUUCGGCUAGGGGGCCAUCCCGGCUUACCAACCCGAUGCAAACUGCGAAUACCGGAGAAUGUUAUCACGGGAGACACACGGCGGGUGCUAACGUCCGUCGUGAAGAGGGAAACAACCCAGACCGCCAGCUAAGGUCCCAAAGUCAUGGUUAAGUGGGAAACGAUGUGGGAAGGCCCAGACAGCCAGGAUGUUGGCUUAGAAGCAGCCAUCAUUUAAAGAAAGCGUAAUAGCUCACUGGUCGAGUCGGCCUGCGCGGAAGAUGUAACGGGGCUAAACCAUGCACCGAAGCUGCGGCAGCGACACUGUGUGUUGUUGGGUAGGGGAGCGUUCUGUAAGCCUGUGAAGGUGUGUCGUGAGGCAUGCUGGAGGUAUCAGAAGUGCGAAUGCUGACAUAAGUAACGAUAAAGCGGGUGAAAAGCCCGCUCGCCGGAAGACCAAGGGUUCCUGUCCAACGUUAAUCGGGGCAGGGUGAGUCGACCCCUAAGGCGAGGCCGAAAGGCGUAGUCGAUGGGAAACGGGUUAAUAUUCCCGUACUUGGUGUUACUGCGAAGGGGGGACGGAGAAGGCUAUGUUGGCCGGG